AUACUUACCUGGACGGGGUUGAUGGGUGAUCAUGAAGGCCUAUGGCCUAGGUCAAUGACUUCCAUUGCACUUUGGAACGUUGUUCUCUUAAGGUCUCCCUAAAUGGGAGAGCAGAAGCUUUUUUCUCC
rnacentral:snRNA from 11 species